GGGGAAGCCAUAGUUAGGGUUUUCAAGCUUCCAAGCUCCAUAAUCAAGAAGUACGAAACUCGAGGUUAGACAAAGGGAAGAAUAAAGUUGAAGACUAAGUUGGUGAAUUUGGCUAUAAUUGGUACCGAGUAUUGCAAAGCUACUUCAAGGAUCCUAAAGAAGUCGGAGAUCGUCCACACUAUCAACUACAACUGCUCGGUAUUUUAUAUCGAAACACGUUUGAGUUAUGGCAUGUAUAGGGAUUUAGUUAUUUUGUAUGUUUGUAAUGAUGAUUUUGCUAAUGAGUGAUGUGUAAGUAUUUGAUGAUGUAUGGUUAUUAAAAUGGUUAAGUAUGAAGGUAUUUGUUGUUAUAAGAGUCUAGGUGAUAAAUUAUGUAUGGAAAUCAUGAAAGGAUGAAAUUUUGCAAAGAAACAGAAUUCAGGCAGCAACA